rnacentral:rRNA from 1 species
GACGAACGCUGGCGGCGUGCCUAAUACAUGCAAGUCGAGCGGACAGAAGGGAGCUUGCUCCCGGAAGUCAGCGGCGGACGGGUGAGUAACACGUGGGCAACCUGCCUGUAAGACUGGGAUAACUUCGGGAAACCGGAGCUAAUACCGGAUAGGUUCUUCCCCCGCAUGGGGGAAGAUGGAAAGACGGUUUCGGCUGUCACUUACAGAUGGGCCCGCGGCGCAUUAGCUAGUUGGUGGGGUAAUGGCCCACAAGGCGACGAUGCGUAGCCGACCUGAGAGGGUGAUCGGCCACACUGGGACUGAGACACGGCCCAGACUCCUACGGGAGGCAGCAGUAGGGAAUCUUCCGCAAUGGACGAAAGUCUGACAGAGCAACGCCGCGUGAGCGAAGAAGGCCUUCGGGUCGUAAAGCUCUGUUGUCAGGGAAGAACAAGUGCCAGAGUAACUGCUGGCACCUUGACGGUACCUGACCAGAAAGCCACGGCUAACUACGUGCCAGCCGCCGCCGUAAUAC